UACGUAGGUGGCGAGCGUUGUCCGGAUUUACUGGGCGUAAAGGGAGCGUAGGCGGACUUUUAAGUGAGAUGUGAAAUACUCGGGCUCAACUUGAGUGCUGCAUUUCAAACUGGAAGUCUAGAGUGCAGGAGAGGAGAAUGGAAUUCCUAGUGUAGCGGUGAAAUGCGUAGAGAUUAGGAAGAACACCAGUGGCGAAGGCGAUUCUCUGGACUGUAACUGACGCUGAGGCUCGGAAGCGUGGGGAGCAAAUAGG
rnacentral:rRNA from 1 species